rnacentral:tRNA from 1 species
GGGCGAUUAGCUCAGUUGGUAGAGCGGCCGCUUUACACGCGGUAGGUCGGCGGUUCGAGCCCGUCAUCGCCCACCA